rnacentral:rRNA from 1 species
CCUACGGGGGGCUGCAGUGGGGAAUAUUGGACAAUGGGCGAAAGCCUGAUCCAGCCAUGCCGCGUGUGUGAAGAAGGCCUUCGGGUUGUAAAGCACUUUCAGUGGGGAAGAAAGCCUUGGGGCUAAUACCCUCGAGGAAGGACAUCACCCACAGAAGAAGCACCGGCUAACUCCGUGCCAGCAGCCGCGGUAAUACGGAGGGUGCGAGCGUUAAUCGGAAUUACUGGGCGUAAAGCGCGCGUAGGCGGUCUGAUAAGCCGGUUGUGAAAGCCCCGGGCUCAACCUGGGAACGGCAUCCGGAACGGUCAGGCUAGAGAGGAGGAGAGGAAGGUAGAAUCCACGGUGUAGCGGUGAAAUGCGUAGAGAUCGGGAGGAAUACCAGUGGCGAAGGCGGCCUCCUGGACUGACACUGACGCUGAGGUGCGAAAGCGUGGGUAGCAACCAGGAUUAGAUACCCGGGUAGU